AGAAUCAACGCUGGCGGCGUGCCUAACACAUGCAAGUCGAACGCGAAAGCCCCGCAAGGGGUAAGUAGAGUGGCAAACGGGUGAGUAACACGUGGGUGACCUGCCUUCGAGUGGGGGAUAACGUCCCGAAAGGGACGCUAAUACCGCAUGACAUUCUGCCUUUGGAAAGGCGGAGAUCAAAGCCGGGGAUCGCAAGACCUGGCGCUUGAAGAGGGGCCCGCGCCUGAUUAGCUAGUUGGUGGGUAAUGGCUCACCAAGGCUACGAUCAGUA
rnacentral:rRNA from 1 species